CAAGCGGUGGAUGAUGUGGUUUAAUUCGAUGCAACGCGAAAAACCUUACCUACCCUUGACAUGCCUGGAACCCUGCAGAGAUGUGGGGGUGCUCGAAAGAGAGCCAGGACACAGGUGCUGCAUGGCCGUCGUCAGCUCGUGUCGUGAGAUGUUGGGUUAAGUCCCGCAACGAGCGCAACCCUUAUCAUUAGUUGCUACGCAAGGGCACUCUAAUGAGACUGCCGGUGACAAACCGGAGGAAGGUGGGGAUGACGUCAGGUCAUCAUGGCCCUUAUGGGUAGGGCUACACACGUCAUACAAUGGCCGGUACAGAGGGCUGCCAACCCGCGAGGGGGAGCUAAUCUCAGAAAACCGGUCGUAGUCCGGAUCGCAGUCUGCAACUCGACCGCGUGAAGUCGGAAUCGCUAGUAAUCGCGGAUCAGCUUGCCGCGGUGAAUACGUUCCCGGGUCUUGUACACACC
rnacentral:rRNA from 1 species